GAUUUCUACUUGACCGUCUUGGCCCGCCUUCUUUUUGGAGUCAGGUAUCCUUGUAGAGAGCCAAGCCUAUCCUUCACUGGAUUGGGCAUGUGCGAUCUACAUCAUUUACUUUGAAAAAAUUAGAGUGUUUAAAGCAGGCUUAUGCUGUGAAUACAUUAGCAUGGAAUAAUAAUAUAGGACUUCGGUUCUAUUUUGUUGGUUUCUAGGACUGAAGUAAUGAUUGAUAGGGAUAGUUGGGGGUGCUAGUAUUCCGCGGCCAGAGGUGAAAUUCUUGGAUUCGCGGAAGACUAACUAAUGCGAAAGCAUU
rnacentral:rRNA from 1 species